UAGAAAAAGAAAGAAAAGAAACAGAAUAGAAGAGACGAAACAGAGAAAGAAACAGAGAGCAAAACGGGCAGAGAAGGAAGGAAAGAAAGAAAGAAAGAAAGAAAAAGAAAAAGGGGAAUUUAAGGUUUUAAGGUUCCAAGCUCAAUUGCUAAUGUCGUACACGAGUCAUUGUCCGAGAAAGGAAAGGGAAAGUGGACAAGAAGUGACUCGAGAGAAAUUCCGGGAGUUGUUGGCGCGAUAGGGAAUAGGCGGUACGGUGGCAGAGGGUAGGUGGUGCGGCUCCAGAGAUUAGGAGGCUAGGGUUUCUCUUUUUUUGUUUAGGUUGUGGGCUGUUAGGGUUAGAUUUAGGUGGGUUGGGAUUUGGGUCUUUAUUGGGCCAUCUGAUUUGGGUUUGUAAUUGGGUUAGUUUGGGUUUGUUUGCCUGGGCCGGGCGAAAUUGGGCUACUACAGCUGCCCCUCUUUACUCGUUGUUGUGUAACAAGAACAGAGCAAAGAGUAAGAAAGACCAAUUUUGCCCGGUCUCACCGAGUCUUGACUUCUUGGUGCCUUUCUUUUUCAGCAACUUCAGGGGGAUGAUGUUUGUGGUUCUAGUCUGCUCCACUGCUACGUCAGGGAGAUAAGAUUUGUAUCUUCAACCUGUUCCACUGUGACUUUAGGGAGAUAAGGUUUGAUCCAAUUCGACCUACUCCAACUUUAGAGGUAUAUGAUUCAUCGUUUUCAUCCACUCCACUGCAACUUCAGGGAGACACGAUUGAUAUUUUUCGUCUGGUCCACUGCAACCUCAGGGAGAUAAGACCUGAUGCGAUCUACUCUGCUGUAACUUCAGAGAGAUAAGAUCCUUUAUUUUAAUCCGCUCCACUGUAACUUCAGGGAGAUAGGAUAGUGUCUUCGAUUUGCUCCGCUGUAAUCUCAGGGAGAUAAGAUCUCUGGCUUCAAUCUGCUCCACUGUAAUCUCAGGGAGAUAAGAUCUGAAAUUCUUCAGUCUACUCCACUGUAACCUCAGGGAGAUAAGACCUGAUGCGAUCUACUGUACUGUAACUUCAGAGAGAUAAGAUCCUUUAUUUUAAUCCGCUCCACUAUAAUAUCAGGGAGAUUAAGAUUACUAUCUUCAAUCUGCUCCGCUGUAAUCUCAGGGAGAUAAGAUCUCUGGCUUCAAUCUGCUCCACUGUAACCUCAAGGAGAUAAGAUCUGAAAUUCUUCGGUCUACUCCACUGUAACCUCAGGGAGAUAAGACCUGAUGCGAUCUACUCUGCUGUAACUUCAGAGAGAUAAGAUCCUUUAUUUUAAUCCGCUCCAUUGUAACUUCAAGGAGAUAGGAUAGUGUCUUUGAUCUGCUCCGCUGUAAUCUCAGGGAGAUAAGAUCUCUGGCUUCAAUCUGCUCCACUGUAACCUCAAGGAGAUAAGAUCUAAAAUUCUUCGGUCUACUCCACUGUAACCUCAGGGAGAUAAGACCUAAUGCGAUCUACUCUACUGUAACUUCAGAGAGAGAAGAUCUUUUAUUUUAA